AUCAGAUACUCAGGUGGCACAGACAGAAAGGUAGACCGGCGGCAGUUUCCGACCCAGCGAAAGUGAAGAAAAUUCCGUAGGCUACCAGAACGAGGUCUUGCGACGGUCUUUGUGAGUUGAGCGAGGAACAAUCCAGAAGUUUGAACUUGUUCCUUCCACAGUAGCCGAGAUCUGGGUUCUCAUCGAAGAGGCCGAAGUCUAAAAGGCCCUUGAGCUGGUACUCCUGGUUGUAGUCUAUCGACCAAGGUUGUGGUCUGGUGAAGCUACUGGAAUAGUCAGGAAGCAUGGUAUUCACAAGCUUUACUGGUGCUGGUGUUGGUUUUGGUUUUGGCAUUGGUUGUGGGUUUGGAGUUGGAUGGGGUUUUGGAGGUAUGCCCUUACAUACCUUUGGUCUGGGAAUAGGAGGUGGCUGCGGAGUGGGGCUUGGCCUUGGCUGGGGAUUUGGCAGUGGAUUUGGUUGUCAAUACCGCUCUUCUAAGGUCAGAUUCCAGGGUGCUGAAUUUGAUAAAAAGGCCGUUAUAGAAAAAGCAGCAGUCCCAGAAUCCUUAAAGCAUGUUCAAGAGGUUCCAGCUUCGAAGUAGGUCUUGGAAUUUGACAAAAGAUCUGUUGCUUGCAGAAUUCCUCUCUGUAUGACAUAAAAUCUAUCAUGAUAGCACGAGGAUGAUAAGGUGCAGAACGCAUUAUAUUUGUUAGGGAGCCUGAAGUAUCAAAUGCUGCCUUAAUUUUGUUCAUGUUGUCUGGUGCAUGGCACAAGCACCCUGUCUAUUGACAUCUUGACUGACCUCUGAAUGAAUGCUGAUCUACAUAGUGUGGCUCCAUUAGAUGUGUUAUUUGGUUAGGGCAACAGGAGGAGACUCACAUGAUAAAUUGUGAACUAGCUGAAUCUAUAGAGAGUAUGCAAGACUUGUCGAUGAGAAUGCUGGAAUUUAGUAGUUCCAAACAAGCCUAGCUUUCGGUAGCAUUGCUAUGCUUAGAUGAUGUCUGUGCCUUGGAACCUUAUGGAAACUGUUGUAAUGGUUACAACUUGACACAGACUGCUUUUGAAGUUGAAAUAAAAU